AGAGUUUGAUCCUGGCUCAGAUUGAACGCUGGCGGCAGGCCUAACACAUGCAAGUCGAGCGGUAACAGGGGAAGCUUGCUUUCUGCUGACGAGCGGCGGACGGGUGCGUAACACGUAGGAAUCUGCCUGGUAGUGGGGGAUAGCCCGGAGAAAUCCGGAUUAAUACCGCAUACGCCCUAAGGGGGAAAGCAGGGGAUCAGUUUACUGACCUUGCACUAUCAGAUGAGCCUGCGUCGGAUUAGCUUGUUGGUGGGGUAAAGGCCUACCAAGGCGACGAUCCGUAGCUGGUCUGAGAGGAUGAUCAGCCACACUGGGACUGAGACACGGCCCAGACUCCUACGGGAGGCAGCAGUGGGGAAUAUUGCACAAUGGGCGCAAGCCUGAUGCAGCCAUGCCGCGUGUGUGAAGAAGGCCUUAGGGUUGUAAAGCACUUUCAGCAAGGAGGAAAGGUGAUUAGUUAAUACCUGAUUACUGUGACGUUACUCGCAGAAGAAGCACCGGCUAACUCCGUGCCAGCAGCCGCGGUAAUACGGAGGGUGCGAGCGUUAAUCGGAAUUACUGGGCGUAAAGCGUGCGUAGGCGGCUACUUAAGUUGGAUGUGAAAGCCCCGGGCUUAACCUGGGAACUGCAUCCAAAACUGGGUGGCUAGAGUGCGAGAGAGGAGUGUGGAAUUUCCUGUGUAGCGGUGAAAUGCGUAGAUAUAGGAAGGAACACCAGUGGCGAAGGCGACACUCUGGCUUGACACUGACGCUGAGGUACGAAAGCGUGGGGAGCAAACAGGAUUAGAUACCCUG
rnacentral:rRNA from 1 species